rnacentral:rRNA from 1 species
AUAGCGUAUAUUUAAGUUGUUGCAGUUAAAAAGCUCGUAGUUGGAUUUCGGGCGGGGCGACGCGGUCCGCCUCUGGUGUGCACUGCGGCGUCCCGCCUUCCGGCCGGGGACGGGCUCCUGGGCUUCACUGUCCGGGACUCGGAGUCGGCGAGGUUACUUUGAGUAAAUUAGAGUGUUCAAAGCAGGCCUACGCUCUGAAUACGUUAGCAUGGAAUAACGCGAUAGGACUCUGGCCUAUCUCGUUGGUCUGUGGGACCGGAGUAAUGAUUAAGAGGGACGGUCGGGGGCAUUCGUAUUGCGUUGUCAGAGGUGAAAUUCUUGGAUUCACGCAAGACGAACUUCUG